rnacentral:rRNA from 1 species
CAACCUGCCUAUAACUAGGGAAUAACCUUGCGAAAGUAAGACUAAUACCCUAUGAUUUCCUUUGAUGACAUCAGAUUAGGAAUAAAGAUUUAUCGGUUAUAGAUGGGGAUGCGUCUGAUUAGCUUGUUGGCGGGGUAACGGCCCACCAAGGCAACGAUCAGUAGGGGUUCUGAGAGGAAGGUCCCCCACAUUGGAACUGAGACACGGUCCAAACUCCUACGGGAGGCAGCAGUGAGGAAUAUUGGUCAAUGGGCGAAAGCCUGAACCAGCCAAGUAGCGUGCAGGAUGACGGCCCUAUGGGUUGUAAACUGCUUUUAUACAGGAAUAAAGUUAGCCACGUGUGGUUAUUUGUAGGUACUGUAUGAAUAAGGACCGGCUAAUUCCGUGCCAGCAGCCGCGGUGAUACGGAAGGUCCAGGCGUUAUCCGGAUUUAUUGGGUUUAAAGGGAGCGUAGGCCGUCUGUUAAGCGUGUUGUGAAAUGUAGAUGCUCAACAUCUGAAUUGCAGCGCGAACUGGCAGACUUGAGUGUGCGCAACGUAGGCGGAAUUCGUGGUGUAGCGGUGAAAUGCUUAGAUAUCACGAAGAACUCCGAUUG